rnacentral:rRNA from 1 species
AUUGAACGCUGGCGGCAUGCCUUACACAUGCAAGUCGAGCGGCAGCGCGGGGGCAACCCUGGCGGCGAGCGGCGAACGGGUGAGUAAUACAUCGGAACGUGUCCAGUAGCGGGGGAUAACCUGUCGAAAGAUAGGCUAAUACCGCAUACGACCUACGGGUGAAAGCGGGGGACCGCAAGGCCUCGCACUAUUGGAGCGGCCGAUGUCGGAUUAGCUAGUUGGCGGGGAACGGCCCACCAAGGCGACGAUCCGUAGCUGGUCUGAGAGGACGACCAGCCACACUGGAACUGAGACACGGUCCAGACUCCUACGGGAGGCAGCAGUGGGGAAUUUUGGACAAUGGGCGCAAGCCUGAUCCAGCCAUGCCGCGUGAGUGAAGAAGGCCUGGUU